UACGGGGGGGGCAAGCGUUGUUCGGAAUUACUGGGCGUAAAGGGCUCGUAGGCGGCCAACUAAGUCAGACGUGAAAUCCCUCGGCUUAACUGGGGAACUGCGUCUGAUACUGGUAGGCUUGAGUGCAGGAGAGGAACGCGGAAUUCCAGGUGUAGCGGUGAAAUGCGUAGAUAUCUGGAGGAACACCGGUGGCGAAGGCGGCGUUCUGGACUGUAACUGACACUGAUGAACGAAAGCCAGGGGAGCAAACGGG
rnacentral:rRNA from 1 species